AUUGAACGCUGGCGGCAUGCCUUACACAUGCAAGUCGAACGGCAGCACGGGGGCAACCCUGGUGGCGAGUGGCGAACGGGUGAGUAAUACAUCGGAACGUAUCCUGUAGCGGGGGAUAACCUCUCGAAAGAGAGGCUAAUACCGCAUACGACCUACGGGUGAAAGAGGGGGAUCGCAAGACCUCUCACUAUUGGAGCGGCCGAUGUCGGAUUAGCUAGUUGGUGGGGUAAAAGCCACCAAGGCUACGAUCCGUAGCUGGUCUGAGAGGACGACCAGCCACACUGGAACUGAGACACGGUCCAGACUCCUACGGGAGGCAGCAGUGGGGAAUUUUGGACAAUGGGCGCAAGCCUGAUCCAGCCAUGCCGCGUGGGUGAAGAAGGCCU
rnacentral:rRNA from 1 species